CAGGCACCUCCCACCCCUGGGAACUUUGGCCCCAGCCCUGAGAUCAGCUCAGACAGAAGACAGCGAGGCACACUGCACAGCCCAGCAGGAAAGCAGCUGGGUCCUGAGACUGGUGUAGACAGAACAGCCUAGCCAUUUCCUGCCCUGUGAGCUGGGCGAGCGGACACCAGUCAGUGAGAACCAACAUGAAUGGCAGCGGUCACCGGUCAGUAGGUACUGUCACGGAACCCUAACAAGGAUAAGCAGCCUGAGGUAAGAGCUAAAAGACCAAGAACUGGAAAGUCUGCGUGUCUCCAUCCCUUGGUGAUAAGGCAGAGAGUGCUUUGCUCUCAGGUCAUGCUAUCGGGAUCAAGAGAUAGAGGCCGUCGCUGGAGCCAGCACAGAGUCCGCUUGUCUCUCUCCCUCUCCCUCUCCCUCCCCCGCCCAAAAGUAAAUAAAUAUAAUUUUUAGAAAAGAUAAAAUA